AACGAACGCUGGCGGCAUGCCUAACACAUGCAAGUCGAACGAGACCUUCGGGUCUAGUGGCGCACGGGUGCGUAACGCGUGGGAACCUGCCCUUAGGUUCGGAAUAACUCCCCGAAAGGGGUGCUAAUACCGGAUAACGUCUUCGGACCAAAGAUUUAUCGCCUUUGGAUGGGCCCGCGUUGGAUUAGCUAGUUGGUAGGGUAAAAGCCUACCAAGGCGACGAUCCAUAGCUGGUCUGAGAGGAUGAUCAGCCACACUGGGACUGAGACACGACCCAGACUCCUACGGGAGGCAGCAGUGGGGAAUAUUGGACAAUGGGCGAAAGCCUGAUCCAGCAAUGCCGCGUGAGUGAUGAAGGCCUUAGGGUUGUAAAGCUCUUUUACCCGGGAUGAUAAUGACAGUACCGGGAGAAUAAGCUCCGGCUAACUCCGUG
rnacentral:rRNA from 1 species